rnacentral:misc_RNA from 1 species
GAUGAAGAACGUAGCGAAAUGCGAUAAGUAGUGUGAAUUGCAGAAUUCAGUGAAUCAUCGAAUCUUUGAACGCACAUUGCGCCCCUUGGUAUUCCAUGGGGCAUGCCUGUUCGAGCGUCAUCUACACCCUCAAGCUCUGCUUGGUGUUGGGCGUCUGUCCCGCCCCCGCGCGUGGACUCGCCCCAAAUCCAUUGGCAGCGUUCCUUGCCCCCUCUCGCGCAGCACAUUGCGCUUCUCGAGGGCGGCUCCGGGACGCGAUCCAGCAAGAUGACCACCGUCUUUGACCUCGGAUCAGGUAGGGAUACCCGCUGAACUUAAGCAUAUCAUUAAGCGGAGGA